rnacentral:rRNA from 1 species
GAUGAACGCUGGCGGCGUGCCUAAUACAUGCAAGUCGAACGAAACUUCUUUAUCACCGAGUGCUUGCACUCACCGAUAAAGAGUUGAGUGGCGAACGGGUGAGUAACACGUGGGCAACCUGCCCAAAAGAGGGGGAUAACACUUGGAAACAGGUUCUAAUACCGCAUAACCAUAGUUACCGCAUGGUACCUAUGUAAAAGGUGGCUGUACUACCGCUUUUGGAUGGGCCCGCGGCGCAUUAGCUAGUUGGUAGGGUAAAGGCUUACCAAGGCAAUGAUGCGUAGCCGAAUUGAGAGGUUGAUCGGCCACAUUGGGACUGAGACACGGCCCAAACUCCUACGGGAGGCAGCAGUAGGGAAUCUUCCACAAUGGGCGAAAGCCUGAUGGAGCAACGCCGCGUGGGUGAAGAAGGUCUUCGGAUCGUAAAACCCUGUUGUUAGAGAAGAAAGUGCGUGAGAGUAACUGUUCACGUUUCGACGGUAUCUAACCAGAAAGCCACGGCUAACUACGUG